rnacentral:tRNA from 1 species
GGAGGUGAUAUGUGCCUGGUGGUGCUCCUGGUCUUCAAAACCAGCGCGAGUCGCGAACGCGUCUCGGGUGGGUUCGAUUCCCAUUCGCCUCC